rnacentral:rRNA from 1 species
AAGGUGAACCUGCGGAAGGAUCAUUACAGUAGUCGCCCGGGUUGCCGCAAGGCCUCCCGGGUAACCUACCACCCUUUGUUUAUUACACUUUGUUGCUUUGGCAAGCCUGCCCUCGGGCUGCUGGCUCCGGCCGGCGAGCGCUUGCCAGAGGACCUAAACUCUGUUUGUCUAUACUGUCUGAGUACUAUAUAAUAGUUAAAACUUUCAACAACGGAUCUCUUGGUUCUGGCAUCGAUGAAGAACGCAGCGAAAUGCGAUAAGUAAUGUGAAUUGCAGAAUUCAGUGAAUCAUCGAAUCUUUGAACGCACAUUGCGCCCCCUGGUAUUCCGGGGGGCAUGCCUGUCCGAGCGUCAUUACAACCCUCAAGCUCAGCUUGGUGUUGGGCCCCGCCGCCCCGGCGGGCCCUAAAGUCAGUGGCGGUGCCGUCCGGCUCCGAGCGUAGUAAUUCUUCUCGCUCUGGAGGUCCGGUCGUGUGCUCGCCAGCAACCCCCAAUUUUUUUCAGGUUGACCUCGGAUCAGGUAGGGAUACCCGCUGAACUUAAGCAUAUCAAUAAGCGGAGGA